rnacentral:sRNA from 1 species
GCCUCGUGCAGCUGCGAGGGCGACAGCAGGUGCACGUGGGUGUCGAACCCGCCGGCGGUGAGGAUCCGGCCCUCGCCGGAGAUCACGUCCGUGCCCGGCCCGAUGACCAGCGCCGGGUCGACGCCGUCGGCGAUGUCGGGAUUGCCGCUGCGGCCGAUCCCGACGAUCCGGCCGGCCCGGAUGCCGACGUCGGCGCGGACGAUCCCCCAGUGGUCGAGGAUGAUCACGUUGGUGAUGACGGUGUCGAGCGCGCCCUCGGCCGAGAGCACGCCGGACUGGUUCAUCGACUCGCGGAU